GCACGAGAAAGGGCUUCGGCCCCGGUACAGUGGCGCACGGGUGAGUAACACGUGGGUAACCUUCCCCGGAGUGGUGGAUAACCUGCCGAAAGGCGGGCUAAUACAGCAUACGACCUUUGGUCUUCGGACUGGCGGUGAAAGCAGGCCUCUAUAUAUAAGCUUGCGCUCCAGGUUGGGCCCGCGGCCCAUCAGCUAGUUGGCGAGGUAAUGGCUCACCAAGGCAACGACGGGUAGCUGGUCUGAGAGGAUGGCCAGCCACACUGGAACUGAGACACGGUCCAGACUCCUACGGGAGGCAGCAGUGGGGAAUCUUGCGCAAUGGACGAAAGUCUGACGCAGCGACGCCGCGUGGGCGACGAAGGCCUUCGGGUUGUAAAGCCCUGGUGGGGAGGGACGAACACUGAUUGUUCAAAUAGGGCAGUCAGCUGACGGUACCUCCUUAGCAAGCACCGGCUAACUCUGUGCCAGCAGCCGCGGUAAGACAGAGGGUGCAAACGUUGCUCGGAAUUACUGGGCGUAAAGCGCGUGUAGGUGGCCACGCAAGUCAGGUGUGAAAGCCCAGGGCUCAACCCUGGAAGUGCACAUGAUACUACGUGGCUGGAGUACUGAAGAGGAGAGCGGAAUUCCCGGUGUAGAGGUGAAAUUCGUAGAUAUCGGGAGGAACACCAGUUGGCGAAGGCGGCUCUCUGGGCAGAUACUGACACUGAGACGCGAAAGCGUGGGUAGCAAACAGGAUUAGAUACCCUGGUAGUCCACGCUGUAAACGAUGAGAACUGGGUGUCCGUGGGUAUUGACCCCCGCGGUGCCGAAGCCAACGCGUUAAGUUCUCCGCCUGGGAAGUACGGCCGCAAGGCUAAAACUCAAAGGAAUUGACGGGGGCCCGCACAACCGGUGGA
rnacentral:rRNA from 1 species